rnacentral:rRNA from 1 species
GAUGAACGCUGGCGGCGUGCCUAAUACAUGCAAGUCGAGCGAAGGGGGGACGGGUGAGUAACGCGUGGAUAACCUCCUUUAAGACUGGGAUAACUUCGGGAAACCGGUGCUAAACCUGCUAUUUAUAGAUGGAUCCUCGCUGCAUUAGCUAGUUGGUAAGGUAAUGGCUUACCAAGGCAACGAUGCAUAGCCGACCUGAGAGGGUGAUCGGCCAAACUGGAACUGAGACACGGUCCAGACUCCUACGGGAGGCAGCAGUAGGGAAUCUUCCGCAAUGGGCGAAAGCCUGACGGAGCAACGCCGCGUGAGUGAAGAAGGUUUUCGGAUCGUAAAACUCUGUUAUUAGAGAAGCGGUACCUAAUCAGAAAGCCACGGCUAACUACGUGCCAGCAGCCGCGGUAAUAC